UACGUAGGGCGCAAGCGUUAUCCGGAAUCACUGGGCGUAAAGCGCACGUAGGCGGACGUGUCAGUCAGGGGUGAAUCCCGGAGCUCAACUUCGGAACUGCCUUUGAUACAGCACGUCUUGAGUCCGGAAGAGGUGGGUGGAAUUCCUAGUGUAGAGGUGAAAUUCGUAGAUAUUAGGAAGAACACCGGUGGCGAAGGCGGCCCACUGGUCCGGUACUGACGCUGAGGUGCGAAAGCGUGGGGAGCAAACAGG
rnacentral:rRNA from 1 species